rnacentral:rRNA from 1 species
GAGUGGCGGACGGGUGAGUAAUGUCUGGGAAACUGCCUGAUGGAGGGGGAUAACUACUGGAAACGGUAGCUAAUACCGCAUAACGUCGCAAGACCAAAGAGGGGGACCUUCGGGCCUCUUGCCAUCAGAUGUGCCCAGAUGGGAUUAGCUAGUAGGUGGGGUAACGGCUCACCUAGGCGACGAUCCCUAGCUGGUCUGAGAGGAUGACCAGCCACACUGGAACUGAGACACGGUCCAGACUCCUACGGGAGGCAGCAGUGGGGAAUAUUGCACAAUGGGCGCAAGCCUGAUGCAGCCAUGCCGCGUGUAUGAAGAAGGCCUUCGGGUUGUAAAGUACUUUCAGCGGGGAGGAAGGUGUUGUGGUUAAUAACCGCAGCAAUUGACGUUACCCGCAGAAGAAGCACCGGCUAACUCCGUGCCAGCAGCCGCGGUAAUACGGAGGGUGCAAGCGUUAAUCGGAAUUACUGGGCGUAAAGCGCACGCAGGCGGUCUGUCAAGUCGGAUGUGAAAUCCCCGGGCUCAACCUGGGAACUGCAUUCGAAACUGGCAGGCUAGAGUCUUGUAGAGGGGGGUAGAAUUCCAGGUGUAGCGGUGAAAUGCGUAGAGAUCUGGAGGAAUACCGGUGGCGAAGGCGGCCCCCUGGACAAAGACUGACGCUCAGGUGCGAAAGCGUGGGGAGCAAAACAGAUUAGAUACCCUGGUAGUCCACGCCGUAAACGAUGUCGAUUUGGAGGUUGUGCCCUUGAGCGUGCUUCCGGAGCUAACGCGUUUAAUCGACCGCCUGGGGAGUACGGCCGCAAGGUUAAAACUCAA